rnacentral:rRNA from 1 species
UGACGGUACCUGACUAAGAAGCACCGGCUAAAUACGUGCCAGCAGCCGCGGUAAUACGUAUGGUGCAAGCGUUAUCCGGAUUUACUGGGUGUAAAGGGUGCGUAGGCGGCAUGGCAAGUCAGAUGUGAAAGACCGGGGCUCAACUCCGGGGCUGCAUUUGAAACUGCCAGGCUGGAGUACAGGAGAGGCAGGCGGAAUUCCUAGUGUAGCGGUGAAAUGCGUAGAUAUUAGGAGGAACACCAGUGGCGAAGGCGGCCUGCUGGACUGUUACUGACGCUGAGGCACGAAAGCGUGGGGAGCAAACAGGAUUAGAUACCCUG